UACAGAGGUGGCAAGCGUUGUUCGGAAUUACUGGGCGUAAAGGGCGCGUAGGCGGCUUGGUCAGUCCCGUGUGAAAUCCCUCGGCUCAACUGAGGAACUGCACGGGAAACUGCCUGGCUUGAGUUCGGGAGAGGGAAGCGGAAUUCCGGGUGUAGCGGUGAAAUGCGCAGAUAUCGGGAGGAACACCAGUAGCGAAGGCGGCUCGCUGGGCCAUUCCUGACGCUGAGACGCGAAAGCUAGGGGAGCGAACAGG
rnacentral:rRNA from 1 species